rnacentral:misc_RNA from 1 species
AAAAAAAAAAAAAAAAAAAGAGGCCAUGGCUGCAGUUAGUGCUUUCACUCUUCUCCGGUACUCUUUCCCUUCAUUCCUUCCCUCUGCAUAAGAUGUUUGAACUUAAAUUGUGAGGCAAUAUUUGGCUAUUAUUUGUGUUUGUAAGCAGGAAUCGUGGAAUUAGUACAAGGGCAUUCUCAAAUGUGAAAUCUUCCCCAAGACCCAUCUCUUAUAUCAACUACAAAUUCCUUCUUUCUAUUCAGUCUCGCAGGUCUCUGUUUCGCACUACUGUGAUUAAUGAUGAAGAGGCAUCUGCCCAAGAAGCUGCAGCCAGUGCUGAGAGUGGAGCUCCAACCAUGUAUCAUUACUUGCAACAUUGUUACCCUGGUUUAAUCUCAUAUGUUUUAAGCCAGUAAAAAUUGUUUAAGAACAUUUUAUGGUGAAUUUUUUGGAUUUUGACCUAUUAGAAAUUCAGUGACCCUGCUAAGAUCACAAGUUCUUGAAAAUUCUCAACUAUGAGAAACUUGUAAGUUCUCAUUAAGACCCUUCUCAAUUUAAACUUUAAACUAGGCAAUAAUAACUUGUAAAAAUGAUUCAAAAUAUUAACAAAUUUGCUUCCUCGAAAACAAUCAAUAAAUUUGCUGUUAUUUGAAGUGUGCACAUUUUCUUUGACUUUGACAAAAACCUUUGUUUGCAUUGCAUUAGUAGAAUUGACCUGUAGAGAAAAGAAGAAUUACUUCCUUGUGAUGUGUUAAAUAUGGGAUGAUGAUUUAAACAUAAAAAAAAAAAAAAAACUAAGUGCUUUUUGAGAGAAAGCUUUGGCUGCCAGGUAGAACACGUUGUUUGUGGAUGGAGAUAUCAAGAAACUCAUUUUAUUUUUAAAAGCAAAGAGAGCUUCAAAUAAGAAUGAAAUAUCAGCAAAAAGUUUGGUACUUUAGUUUCUUAGGAAUCUGUUAUAUUAAGUAUCUUUCUUUAUCUCAAAAACCUCCUUAAACAUGCGAAUUGAAAUUUCUGUAAUUUUUUAGCUUCUUUUGAGUGGAUUGUGACUUUUGAGCUGCCUUCAUAUUGUUGACCAGUCUCCCCUUUUCUCCUUCCCCAAAUAAAUUUCCUUAGGCUCUGUCUUUCCUUGGCUUCUACUUCUCUCUCUUUCUCUGGAUUUUGCAUUAGAGCUAAUGUAGAAGAUGAACUGAAAGGCAUCUUUUGUAAUAUUAUGGUUUGAUGAUCGAUUUUAUGUGAUUAUUGUGCACUUUUCUUGUGGAAUUAAGAUUUCCCCUCUAAUCCUUUAUUUAUAUUUUUUGCCUCUCUGUAGUUUUGACAAGAUCAUAGCAAAG